rnacentral:rRNA from 1 species
GACGAACGCUGGCGGCGUGCUUAACACAUGCAAGUCGAACGAUGAACCCGGAGCUUGCUCCGGUGGAUUAGUGGCGAACGGGUGAGUAACACGUGAGUAACCUGCCCUUGACUCUGGGAUAACUGCGGGAAACUGUAGCUAAUACCGGAUACGACCCUCGGCGGCAUCGCCAGGGGGUGGAAAGAAUUUCGGUCAAGGAUGGACUCGCGGCCUAUCAUCUAGUUGGUGAGGUAACGGCUCACCAAGGCUACGACGAGUAGCCGGCCUGAGAGGGUGACAGGCCACACUGGGACUGAGACACGGCCAAGACUCCGACGGGGGGCAGAAGUGGUGAAUAUUGCACAAUGGGCGCAAGCCUGGUGCAGCAACGCCGCGUGAGGGAUGGCGGCCUUCGGGUUGUAAACCUCUUUUAGUAGGGAAGAAGCGAAAGUGACGGUACCUGCAGAAAAAGCACCGGCUAACUACGUGCCAGCCGCCGCCGUAA